UGGGGAAUAUUGCGCAAUGGGCGAAAGCCUGACGCAGCGACGCCGCGUGAGGGAUGAAGGUUUUCGGAUCUUAAACCUCUGUCAGAAGGGAAGAAACCGCACUGUGCUAAUCAGCAGUGCCUUGACGGUACCUUCAAAGGAAGCACCGGCUAACUCCGUGCCAGCAGCCGCGGUAAUACGGAGGGUGCAAGCGUUAAUCGGAAUUACUGGGCGUAAAGCGCACGUAGGCUGCUUUGUAAGUCAGGGGUGAAAUCCCACGGCUCAACCGUGGAACUGCCUUUGAUACUGCUUAGCUUGAAUCCGGGAGAGGGUGGCGGAAUUCCAGGUGUAGGAGUGAAAUCCGUAGAUAUCUGGAGGAACAUCAGUGGCGAAGGCGGCCACCUGGACCGGUAUUGACGCUGAGGUGCGAAAGCGUGGGGAGCAAACAGG
rnacentral:rRNA from 1 species